UGCAGGUUUGGGCGAGAGACGAAUUACUUUUCAAGGCAGAGAGUCCUGCCCCCAGUAUUUUAAACAGUGUUUAUUGGAUGCCUUCCGGAAGCUGAGUGAAGCUGGGGGAUAUGAGCUUCUCAGGAUCCGGGGCUCAACACGAAGCCGGGAGUUGUCUCUAAUUUCCUGCCCAAAUACAGGAUACUGUGUCAAAUAUCUGAAGUCGCCACAAGCAAUGAUUGGGCAUGCAGUGGUUUACAUUCGGCCACUUCAGAGAAACUUGAACAUGGACAAAGAAGAUGGCGAGUCCACAGACGCAUCUGGACCCCUGAUUGCAUGUCUGUCUUGUGGAGUUGAGUUCCACUUUGAUUCAAUUAAG